GGGGAAUUGUUCGCAAUGGGCGCAAGCCUGACGACGCAACGCCGCGUGGAGGAUGAAGGUCUUCGGAUUGUAAACUCCUGUUGAUCGGGACGAACCACCAUCGGGAUAACACCCCGGAGGUCUGACGGUACCGAUUGAGGAAGCCCCGGCUAACUCUGUGCCAGCAGCCGCGGUAAUACAGAGGGGGCAAGCGUUGUUCGGAAUUACUGGGCGUAAAGGGCUCGUAGGCGGCCAACUAAGUCACACGUGAAAUCCCUCGGCUCAACCGGGGAACUGCGUGUGAGACUGGAUGGCUUGAGUUUGGGAGAGGAAUGCGGAAUUCCAGGUGUAGCGGUGAAAUGCGUAGAUAUCUGGAGGAACACCGGUGGCGAAGGCGGCAUUCUGGACCAAUACUGACGCUGAGGAGCGAAAGCCAGGGGAGCAAA
rnacentral:rRNA from 1 species